AUUGAACGCUGGCGGCAGGCCUAACACAUGCAAGUCGAGCGGAUGAAGGGAGCUUGCUCCUGGAUUCAGCGGCGGACGGGUGAGUAAUGCCUAGGAAUCUGCCUGGUAGUGGGGGAUAACGUCCGGAAACGGGCGCUAAUACCGCAUACGUCCUGAGGGAGAAAGUGGGGGAUCUUCGGACCUCACGCUAUCAGAUGAGCCUAGGUCGGAUUAGCUAGUUGGUGGGGUAAAGGCCUACCAAGGCGACGAUCCGUAACUGGUCUGAGAGGAUGAUCAGUCACAGUGAAACUGAGACACGGCCCGCCCUCCGACGGGAGGAGGCAGGGGGGAAUUUUGGAAAAGGGGCGAAGGCUUGACCCAGCCAUGCCGGGUGGGGGAAGAAGGUCUUCGUAUUUUAAGCCUUUUUAGUUGGGGAGGAAGGGAAGUAUUUUAAUACCUUGUUGUUUUGAGUUUCCCAAAAAAAAAAGCCCCGGCUAACUUGGUC
rnacentral:rRNA from 1 species